rnacentral:rRNA from 1 species
UGGGGAAUUUUGGACAAUGGGCGCAAGCCUGAUCCAGCCAUGCCGCGUGAGUGAAGAAGGCCUUCGGGUUGUAAAGCUCUUUCGGUGGAGACGAAACGGUUCAUGCUAAUAACAUGAACUAAUGACGGUACUCACAGAAGAAGCACUGGCUAACUACGUG